rnacentral:rRNA from 1 species
GAUGAACGCUGGCGGCGUGCCUAAUACAUGCAAGUCGAGCGAACGGACGAGAAGCUUGCUUCUCUGAUGUUAGCGGCGGACGGGUGAGUAACACGUGGAUAACCUACCUAUAAGACUGGGAUAAUUUCGGGAAACCGGAGCUAAUACCGGAUAAUAUUUUGUACCGCAUGGUUCAAAAGUGAAAGACGCUCUUGCUGUCACUUAUAGACGGAUCCGCGCUGCAUUAGCUAGUUGGUAAGGUAACGGCUUACCAAGGCAACGAUGCAUAGCCGACCUGAGAGGAUGAUCGGCCACACUGGAACUGAGACACGGUCCAGACUCCUACGGGAGGCAGCAGUAGGGAAUCUUCCGCAAUGGGCGAAAGCCUGACGGAGCAACGCCGCGUGAGUGAUGAAGGUCUUCGGAUCGUAAAACUCUGUUAUUAGGGAAGAACAUAUGUGUAAGUAACUGUGCACAUCUUGACGGUACCUAAUCAGAAAGCCACGGCUAACUACGUG